rnacentral:misc_RNA from 1 species
AGGGUCUAGAUCAAUUGCCUGCAAAUCCAACACUGAAUCAUUAUUAAGUCAACAUCAAGAAACUCACCAAGUACUGUCACAGGUUGACAAUGGUGUCUUUGAUUGCCGGUUAUAGUUAGCUUUUAGCAAUUGGCUGCUACCUUCCACAUACAUACACUAACAACUAGAAAUUCUAACUUUUAGCAUUUUGAAAUGCUACUACAACCAGUAAGGUAACUAAAUGCUCAAAUCCAACACUUGGUGAGGGGCCUAAAUGCCAAAUGCUAGCUCUCAAGCACUAAUUCAAACAGUACCUAAUGCCUGUUUGGCAUUGCAGUGCACAAGUUGUGAACAAAAUCCAGGACAUCAAAACGGCAGCUGAGCACAAAAGCUAGAGAAACAAGCUUUGUUGCCCUUGGAGUUUUUGCACCUCAAUGCCAAGCUGGGCUCUAAUAUUCUCUAUAAAGGGGCAUCAAGAAGUGACAAAAAAAACACCUAGAAAGGGGCAUUUCUUCAUCUAUUUCUGGAUCCUUUAGUCCUUUCCACUAGAGAGCAGCCUCUUUCGAUAAUGUUUGCUCAACCGAACUCUCCGUCCUGAGUGUAACCUUGUGCAUACAGUUAAUCACCAACUGCCACUCUUGCUACAGAAAAAUGCAAGUUUUCACUUCUAAUGUUCAGUUCUUUAUCUAGAGAGAUCACACAUAGUUAUUUAGGGAUGGGUGGCUGCAGUUGUUCUCAAUUGGGCGAGAAAAUAAACAAAUUUCAGAAUGUCAUAAUAGCAUGUUCCCAAAAAAAAAAAAAAA